CCUUCGAUAGCUUAGUUGGUAGAGCGGGGGACUGUAGUUGUUUUCAUGCAGCAAAAAUCCCUAGGUCACUGGUUCGAAUCCAGUUCGAAGGA
rnacentral:tRNA from 1 species